GACGAACGCUGGCGGCGCGCUUAACACAUGCAAGUCGAACGGAAAGGCCUGCUUUCCCUUGUGGAUUGCGGGUACUCGAGUGGCGAACGGGUGAGUAACACGUGAGUGAUCUGCCCCCAACUUGGGUAUAAGCCUGGGAAACUGGGUCUAAUUCCCGAUAGGACUGCAGGGUGGUGCCUGUGGUGGAAAACGAUUUUCUAGUGGUUGGGGAUGAGCUCGCGGCCUAUCAGCUUGUUGGUGGGGUAAUGGCCUACCAAGGCGGCGACGGGUAGCCGGCCUGAGAGGGUGGACGGCCACAUUGGGACUGGGAUACGGCCCAGACUCCUACGGGAGGCAGCAGUGGGGAAUAUUGCACAAUGGGCGGAAGCCUGAUGCAGCGACGCCGCGUGGGGGAUGACGGCCUUCGGGUUGUAAACUCCUUUCGACCGCGAGGAAGCCACCUGGUUGGAAGGGUGGUGACGGUAGUGGUAGAAGAAGCACCGGCUAACUACGUA
rnacentral:rRNA from 1 species